rnacentral:lncRNA from 1 species
AUUCCAGGGCUGUGAAGUCAUCCGGAGCCACGAAGUUUACUUAACCCUUGCAGCCGGUUUGGGUGUACAAACCACGAUGGCGAUCAGAGCCUACAGACCAGAGGCACAAUGGGCUGUGUGUAUCUGUGGUUUUACGCUUUCCCACUGAGGCCUUUAAGGUUUCAGAGUCACUCCAGAAACUUCAAGGAAAAGAGUCAGCACUUUAGAAGGAAAUGAGCAGUAGUGGAGUUUGGAGCUGAACUUUUUGAGUUCACACCAGGAGGGACAUUUGGCAGCCUCAGAGCACAUACUUUGAGGAAAUGCUGGCACAAAAUAAACAAGAGUGGGCUUGACAGAGAGCCCUUGAAGCAGCGACAUUCGUUCAGCAGCCAGCAGAAUGGGCUCUCCAUGGCAGCUCAUGGGAGGGGCCUAUCUGAAAAUGCCUGUAGAGGGCUUUGUGUAAUAAAGAGCCAUCUCAACAGAUGGCUCCUGUCUCCUCCUUCAUGGGAUUAUGCUAAAACAACUUCAGUGAUUCGGAACCAUGGUCGCUCCCAGGAGCCUCUGCCCUGUACUGAAUUCUUCCUUUUCUCUGGCCCAGCGUGCAGUGGUCUGUGUUUUCUCCCUCUUGUGGAACAAGGGAGAAGUCACUUAUAGAAGAAACAGACGGCCACCACAGCUUCCUGCUCUAAGGAUCCACAGAGACUGCUCUUCUGUGACCUGCCCAGAAGCAAAAGAGACCUCUGGGGUCCCGGACCCCAGAUCUAGUCCCCCCUCCAUCUGGUCCUCACCUGUGACCAUGCCCAAGCGGGUGUGGUUAGUGCUACAGGUGUGGGUGGGGUGGGUAUCUCCCUAUACCUCCCUGAAGUCCAUUUCCUCCUUCUGUGUACUGAACAAGGGAUAGAGCUCCAUGUAUUUCAUACAUGCUCAAUAAAUAAGGCGAAGUUAAACUUGACUUUGCCCCAAAGACCUGAAAUUAAUAAUGUGAAGCUAUGAAGGGAUUUUGUUGCACUUGUCUUUUGUCACUAGUCUCUCACCUCAUUGACAUCAUCUCUUGCUAAUAAACCAGAAGGGCAUUGCUAUUGCUUAUGAACUUACACUGUCAAAGAGCCCAGCACAAUCCAAUUCUCUCUGUGCAGUAUUUGGUCAGUGACUU